rnacentral:ncRNA from 1 species
CAGACUACGAGUGAUAAGAUCCGUGGUCAAGAGGGAAACAGCCCAGACCACCAGCUAAGGUCCCAAAGUAACCGUUAAGUGGAAAAGGAUGUGGCGUUGCUUAGACAACCAGGAUGUUGGCUUAGAAGCAGCCAUCAUUUAAAGAGUGCGUAAUAGCUCACUGGUCGAAUGACGCUGCGCCAUAAAUGAACCGGGGCUAAGCAGGGCACCGAAGCUGCGGACUGCCGGAAGGGCAGUGGUAGGGGAGCGUUCUGUCCGGGGCGAAGGUCGACCGGGAGGACGGCUGGACCGGACGGAAGUGAGAAUGCCGGUAUGAGUAGCGAAAAGACAGGUGAGAAUCCUGUCCACCGAAAGCCUGAGGGUUCCUGAGCAAGGCUCGUCCGCUCAGGGUAAGUCGGGACCUAAGCCGAGGCCGGAAGGCGUAGGCGAUGGGAAACAGGUGGAGAUUCCUGUACCACCGAGGCUCGUCAGACCGAGGCGGGGACGCAGAAGGCUAGGGGGACCCGGGGGUUGGAA